CGCGCAGGCGGCUUGGCAAGUCAGAUGUGAAAGCCCACGGCUCAACCGUGGAUGUGCAUUUGAAACUGCUUGGCUUGAGUACCAGAGGGGAAAGUGGAAUUCCCGGUGUAGAGGUGAAAUUCGUAGAUAUCGGGAGGAAUACCGGUGGCGAAGGCGACUUUCUGGCUGGAUACUGACGCUGAGGCGCGAAAGCGUGGGGAGCAAACA
rnacentral:rRNA from 1 species